rnacentral:rRNA from 1 species
UUCCGGUUGAUCCUGCCGGAAGCCACUGCUAUUGGGGUUCGGCUAAGCCAUGCGAGCGGAGGGCGCGGUCGAAAGAUCGUGGCCCCGCACACGGCUCAGCAACACGUAGUCAACCUACCCUUGGGUCGGGGACAAGCUCGGGAAACUGAGGCUAAUCCCCGAUAGGCGAGGGACGCUGGGAUGCCCUCUCGCCCAAAGCUCCGGCGCCCAAGGAUGGGACUGCGGCCUAUCAGGCUGUUGGUGGUGUAACGGACCACCAAACCUACGACGGGUGCGGGCGAUGGGAGUCGGAGCCCGGAGAUGGGGACUGAGACAAGGCCCCAGGCCCUACGGGGCGCAGCAGGCGCGAAAACUCCGCAAUGCGUGCAAGCGUGACGGGGGGAUCCCAAGUGCCGUCCGCUGAGGAUGGCUUUUCUCCUGUGUAAGGAGCCGGAGGAAUAAGGGGAGGGCAAGACUGGUGUCAGCCGCCGCGGUAAUACCAGCUCCCCGAGUGGUAGGGACGAUUAUUGAGCUUAAAGCGUCCGUAGCCGGCCUGACAAGUCUUCCGUUAAAUCCAGCGACUCAAUCGCUGGGCCGCGAAAGAUACUGUCAGGCUAGGGGACGGAAGAGGCCGACGGUAUUCCCGGAGUAGGGGUGAAAUCCUAUAAUCCCGGGAGGACCACCAGUGGCGAAGGCUGUCGGCUAGAACGCGCUCGACGGUGAGGGACGAAAGCUGGGGGAGCGAACCGGAUUAGAUACCCGGGUAGUCCCAGCUGUAAACGAUGCGGGCUAGGUGUUGAGGUGGCUACGAGCCACUUCAGUGCCGCAGGGAAGCCAUUAAGCCCGCCGCCUGGGGAGUACGGUCGCAAGGCUGAAACUUAAAGGGAAUUGGCGGGGGGAGCACCACAAGGCGUGAAGCUUGCGGUUUAAUUUGGAGUCAACGCCGGG